GGGUCAAUGGGCAAUUUUUUUUAAGACAUUCAAAUGAAUAAAACCAGAGAAUUCUGAAAAUCUGACAAAUAUCCCAAAGCAAGCGAACUUCCUUAAUUUCAUAUAAAAAAUAAUGUAAUUUGAAAGAUAUACAGGAGAUUGGGAGAAUGCAAGAUUUUGCUCUAUUUACCCCCUGACGUUAAGGCAGCAAGUUAUUAUGUCCGCAUGUCAAAUAGCCGCCUACUUUCAGAUUUCAGCUUACUACUUCUAAUUGUAUUGAAAGCCCUCCUUUACAAAGAAAUAUUUCCAGUAAAAUUCCUACACUGGCACAAGUUCUUUUUGAUAAGGGGAGAUAAUCACAAAUUCUGAUAACCAAGUUGACUUUAUCCCAUUUCACCGUAUAUUAAUAGGGGGCUUGUUAUUUUAUGCAUUAAAUAAAAUUUAGGGGGGUGCUUCUAAAAAAUUGUAAGUUGGUCAAUUUAGGCUGUAACACAUAUUUACAUAUAAAAGUGCAUAUAGAAGCUAUAGGAAAGAGAAAUUUGUUUCUUUUUGGUUAUUUCUAUGCUUAAUUGACAUGAUACAAAAAGUCUAAGUGCAAUAAGACUCUUGCAUUGAACUUUUUUUGCAGACAGUGUACUUUGAUGCAAAUUUUAUUUUCAUUUUUCAGUGGAAAUUCUGAAAACUUGCAUGUAAUUUUAUUCCCAACUUGCAUAUAUUUGAACCACUAACUGUCCUACAGAAGAAGAAAAAGUUUCAUAUGAAAG
rnacentral:lncRNA from 1 species